rnacentral:rRNA from 1 species
ACGUACACUCCUACGGGAGGCAGCAGUGGGGAAUAUUGGACAAUGGGCGCAAGCCUGAUCCAGCCAUGCCGCGUGAGUGAUGAAGGCCCUAGGGUUGUAAAGCUCUUUCACCGGAGAAGAUAAUGACGGUAUCCGGAGAAGAAGCCCCGGCUAACUUCGUGCCAGCAGCCGCGGUAAUACGAAGGGGGCUAGCGUUGUUCGGAAUUACUGGGCGUAAAGCGCACGUAGGCGGAUCGAUCAGUCAGGGGUGAAAUCCCAGGGCUCAACCCUGGAACUGCCUUUGAUACUGUCGAUCUGGAGUAUGGAAGAGGUGAGUGGAAUUCCGAGUGUAGAGGUGAAAUUCGUAGAUAUUCGGAGGAACACCAGUGGCGAAGGCGGCUCACUGGUCCAUUACUGACGCUGAGGUGCGAAAGCGUGGGGAGCAAACAGGAUUAGAUACCCGAGUAGUCCC